AACGAACGCUGGCGGCAGGCUUAACACAUGCAAGUCGAGCGCCCCGCAAGGGGAGCGGCAGACGGGUGAGUAACGCGUGGGAACGUACCCUUUGCUACGGAACAGCUCCGGGAAACUGGAAUUAAUACCGUAUGUGCCCUACGGGGGAAAGAUUUAUCGGCAAAGGAUCGGCCCGCGUUGGAUUAGCUAGUUGGUGGGGUAAUGGCCCACCAAGGCGACGAUCCAUAGCUGGUCUGAGAGGAUGAUCAGCAACAUUGGGACUGAGACACGGCCCAAACUCCUACGGGAGGCAGCAGUGGGGAAUAUUGGACAAUGGGCGCAAGCCUGAUCCAGCCAUGCCGCGUGAGUGAUGAAGGCCUUAGGGUUGUAAAGCUCUUUCACCGGAGAAGAUAAUGACGGUAUCCGGAGAAGAAGCCCCGGCUAACUUCGUGCCAGCCGCCGCCGUAACAC
rnacentral:rRNA from 1 species